rnacentral:rRNA from 1 species
AGUGCUUGCACUUUGCUGACGACCGGCGCACGGGUGCGUAACGCGUAUGCAAUCUACCUCUUACUGAGGGAUAGCCCAUGGAAACGUGGAUUAACACCUCAUGGUAUUUUAAAUUGGCAUCAAUUUAAGAUUAAAGGUUACGGUAAGAGAUGAGCAUGCGUCCUAUUAGCUAGAUGGUAAGGUAACGGCUUACCAUGGCAACGAUAGGUAGGGGUCCUGAGAGGGAGAUCCCCCACACUGGUACUGAGACACGGACCAGACUCCUACGGGAGGCAGCAGUGAGGAAUAUUGGACAAUGGGCGAGAGCCUGAUCCAGCCAUGCCGCGUGCAGGAAGACUGCCCUAUGGGUUGUAAACUGCUUUUGUAUAGGAAGAAACCUUUCCUCGUGAGGAAAAUUGACGGUACUAUACGAAUAAGGAUCGGCUAACUCCGUGCCAGCAGCCGCGGUAAUACGGAGGAUCCAAGCGUUAUCCGGAAUCAUUGGGUUUAAAGGGUCCGUAGGCGGGUUUAUAAGUCAGUGGUGAAAGUCUGCAGCUUAACUGUAGAACUGCCAUUGAUACUGUAGAUCUUGAAUCAUUAUGAAGUGGUUAGAAUGUGUAGUGUAGCGGUGAAAUGCAUAGAUAUUACACAGAAUACCGAUUGCGAAGGCAGAUCACUAAUAAUGUAUUGACGCUGAUGGACGAAAGCGUAGGUAGCGAACAGGAUUAGAUACCCUGGUAGUCUACGCCGUAAACGAUGGUUACUAGCUGUCCGGCCUAAUUGAGGGCUGGGUGGUUAAGCGAAAGUGAUAAGUAACCCACCUGGGGAGUACGUUCGCAAGAAUGAAACUCAAAGGAAUUGACGGGGGCCCGCACAAGCGGUGGAGCAUGUGGUUUAAUUCGAUGAUACGCGAGGAACCUUACCAGGGCUUAAAUGCAGUCUGACGUACUU